rnacentral:tRNA from 1 species
GCUGAGGUGGCGUAACCGGUAGCCGCGCGGGUCUUAGAAGCCCGUGGAGAAAUCCGUGCGAGUUCGAGUCUCGCCCUCAGCACCA